GUCAGCAACAGCAAGAGCAACCAGUUGAGAGAGACGCUUCAAUGUGUUAAAAAACUGUUAUCAUGUUCCUGUUAGCUUCUGAUCACUUCUCUACUUACAGCUGGCCCAAUCUCUAUAAACACACACAUGCAUAUGCAUACGCAUCCGCAUGCGCCCCACAUGCUCACGUGCAAAGUCAUAAAAUAUCACGAAUCGCGAAAAUCCACAAAAUUUACCUCAGCAAAUGACAAAAUGAAGAGACGCUCCUACUCCUCCGCCUCCACUUCGCCACCGUGGGAUAGACUCUACUCCGGCGGCCGCCGGAUCUGAAGUUAGCACACAUCUAUUAAAAGACAAUAAUAUCCUCACAUUGUGACAUCUAGAGAGAAUCAGCAAACAUUAACAUCAAGGGCAAUUUUGUUACUCCAUAAAAUAUAAAGAUAUUUCAGUUUCCCAGUUCUCAGCCGUUCCUUCCCACUAAUUUCGAUUACCAUAAUACCCUCGAACUAAAAUACUAAAUACAAAAACACCAUCCCACUUUCAUACAAGAAAAUCUACGUACACACCGUUCACUAUGCCGUAUACAAUAAGGGAAU
rnacentral:misc_RNA from 1 species